AUUGAACGCUGGCGGCAGGCCUAACACAUGCAAGUCGAGCGGAGUGAUGGUGCUUGCACUAUCACUUAGCGGCGGACGGGUGAGUAAUGCUUAGGAAUCUGCCAUGUAGUGGGGGACAACAUUCCGAAAGGAAUGCUAAUACCGCAUACGUCCUACGGGAGAAAGCAGGGGAUCUUCGGACCUUGCGCUAAAUGAUGAGCCUAAGUCGGAUUAGCUAGUUGGUGGGGUAAAGGCCUACCAAGGCGACGAUCUGUAGCGGGUCUGAGAGGAGGAACCGCCAACAUGGGACGUAGGCACGGCCCAGACUCCUACGGGAGGCAGCAGUGGGGAAUAUUGGACCAUGGGCGGAAGCCUUAUCCAGGCAUGCCGCGUGGGUGAAGAAGGCCUUUUGGUUGUAAAGCACUUUAAGCGAGGAGGAAGCUACUAGUACUAAUACUACUGGAUAGUGGACGUUACUCGCAGAAUAAGCACCGGCUAACUCUGUGCCAGCCGCCGCGGUAACAC
rnacentral:rRNA from 1 species